ensembl:lncRNA
GGAGAGGAGAGGAGAGGAGAGGAGAGGAGAGGAGAGGAGAGGAGAGGAGAGGAGAGGAGAGGAGAGGAGAGGAGAGGAGAGGAGAGGAGAGGAGAGGAGAGGAGAGGAAAAUACGUGUAGGAGCAGCAUUGUUUUUGUGGAAGAACUCAUUUGAAACUAUGCUAUCUCUGAGCUGCACAAAGAGAAGAGUCUUCUGGCUUUAAUCAGGUUUAAAUUGUUGUUUAUAUUUCAGUAGCCACUGUCCCACUAAGGUAAAUCACAACGUACCCAGCCGCCUUUGGAAUGCAAUUCGGGGCCUGCGGAUUUUCCAGAUAGUGGCAACUCAGAGCAGCCUGCCGCGUUGUGGCACGACCCCGAAAAUGCCAAUUUGGGGUGUUUUGUUUCGGCUUUCUUUCUUUUCUUUUUCUGUAAAUAAUUAGGCAGUCUGAUCAAACCUACGUGCGUUAAGAUGACAGGUGAUACCUUCAACAACACAUUUAAUAGUCUAAGAACUGGAGCGCACAAGAUGUCCCCCUGAGAGGAGAUCUGUGUCCCCGGGUCUGAACAGCUUCAGGGAUUCCCGAGACAAGAGCAGAAGCGGGCGCGUCUAUAGGCCGUGCUCCCACAGUGAGGCAUCGCAAAUCCAUCGGAACAGUGCUCGCUUUUCCCAGCCCACAUCCCCUGGUACCUCCGCGCGGUGUUUCUAUGUUUCCCACCGCAGCGGAGCGCUGCCCCCCGGCCCCGCUCCGUGUCAGUCCCAGCGCCGCACCUCUCGGCGGGAGGUGGGAGAAGGGAAGGACAGACGGGUUGCUUUUUUUCUUCUUUUGAAAGAAAGGAGAGAUGAAAGGAAGAGCGACAGAUGUCAGCGAUCAGCAUAUUGAAGGGAAAAAAAAAGAAGAAAGAAAAAAGCAAAUAUACCUUUACAUAUGUAUCUGUAUUAAAAAUAGCGCGCGGCACAGCCAACAGGAGAGGCGGGAGGAAGGGAGGAAGGGAGCCCGGCCCUCCGACGCCCCCACGGUCCCAUCUCGGGGCCUCCUUGCGCUGCUGCCGCUGAGGUGGCCGCCGGAUUUCUUCCUUCCGCCAAACGCGAUCCCCGGGAACACGCAGAAAUCGCGCCGGGGUCUGCGUCCGCUGCUGCCAGCGGGAGGAUUUGCAAAUUUCUUUUUCUUUUUUUUUUUUCUUAAUGCCCUUAUUUCUUCGAUGUAUGUAAAUGCAGAGGACGUACAGUGACGUCAAAGGACGUGACCCUGCCGCUAAACCUGAACGUGAACGGGAAUGGCGGCGCGGGGGGCGACGGUGAGGCCGGGAAGGGGUAGCGGUAGGGCCCCUUCCGCGGCCGCGCAGCUCUGCGCCUCCGCGCAUCCCACGCACAUGGGCAGAGCAUCCCGGCCCCGCGUGGCCCAGCACAAAGCCCACCCCGCUCCGCCGAGCCGCCCGCUCUCCCCUCCUUAUUUAUUUAUUUAUUUAUUUAUUUAUUUAUUUAUUUAUUUAUUUAUUUUCCCGUUAAUUGAAUGUUAUUUGCUGUUUCGGUUCAUCAGAUGACGAGCGGGAAAUAGGAAACUCAGAACCGUGGGGGGAAAAAAAAAAUAAAUAAAUGUUUAUCGUCCUCUCCAAAAAUGUUACGCGGUGGAUCGCGGUCCUGCAUCCCUACGGGGGCAGCCGUGCCUCGGCGGCACCUGCGGGGCUGAAAGGGGCUGCAAAGGACUGGAAGCGAGCACGGGGCGCGGUGGGGGGUAAAGGCGGCUUCCCACCUCUCCCCCCGUCCAUUUUCCUUUACCCAGGCCCUCCCUUCUCUCGCGGCACUGUUGUUUGCGGGGAUGUGAGAAGAAGUUUCAGCUGCGACGCUGAAUGCCAUCGGCGUCCUGAAAGUGGAGGGUGUUCUCUAUUAGGAUCCAAGCCUUCCUACCUCUUCCCCAGGCGUCUAUUUGCUGUGAUGCCUUCAGAGCAUCUCCCUUCGCCUCGGCACGGUCUCUCCAAUUUGCAUACACCGCACGCUGCCUCCCCUACCCGAGAGUCGGAAUCUGCGCGCAUCCCCAGAGGCCGAGGAUCGCUCUGCGCACCCCCGGGCCCCUCUCGGUCCUCACAGUGCGCCCUUUGUCCCACCGCACCGCUGGGGCAGCGCUGCCGGGGGUUCCCGAGUGCGUGGGCGGAGGGAGGAGGCAGUCCCCUACUGGCAUGCAUACACACAUGUAUACAUACGUACACGCGUGUGUGCGUGGCUGCUACAGACACACACACACCUCCUGCCGUCAGCCCGCCCCCGGCCCCCCGCCACCUGCCCACGCCACCGCGGACGUCGAGCACGGCCGCCAGCGGCCCGCCCCGAAAAGGGCAGCGGGAAGCCGUCCUGACGCCCCUCACCUCCUCCCGUCCUCCGCGCCGCUCCGCUCACCCAAACUUCCGCCCUCACGCCCUAAAACGCGGCGUUUCCACGCAGAUUACGCGCCGCUGGUUCGCGGGAGGCAGCGGAGGAGCCGGGGGAGCUAUGCCGGCGGGAGGGCACGCAGCGGUGUGCGUGGCAGCCUGACUGGGGAGAGACGCUCUCUCUCUCUCUCUCUCUUUUCUUUUUUUUCCCCCUUCUUUUUUCUCUUUAAACAUUAUGAUUUUUUUAUUAUAAUUAUUUUAAUUUUAUUUAUUUGUUUGUUUAUUUUGCAAUUGUCGACCAGUUGUUUGGUUCAGAGGAAAGUUACCCAGAAGGGGAAUGCCACCCAAGGACAGCACUCGGCAGGAGCCGCUCUUCAGAUCACGGCUGGAGAAAGACACCUACAAAAAACUCCACCGCUCGCUGCGUUUGUAAGUUUCCAAAGAAAUGAGAGCCUCUUUUCCUUUUCUCCUGGAAGACGCAAGCCACGGCUCUUCUUUAGACUUUUCUAAUUUGUUCCGUCCGUCAGAGCGGCACUAAGAGAGGUUUGGUGCAAAUUCAUUAUCUCUGGCAACGCGCAGCGCGGAGCAGGAACUGAAAAAGACCGUGGCAAUGCGUGAACAAUGGGGCUUCAGUUCGUCGGCAACAAAAGCAGUGGGGAAAUCGGUUGGAUUUCAGAGCACGUCCUCCUCGGCAGAGAGGGCUGGACUAGACCUUGGCCAACCCCCCAAAAAACUUGCGGAGCGUCUCAUGCAGGACUCCACUUUCUACUCCGGGGCUUAAGAGGCAAUAUGGAAAAAAAAAAGGGGGGGGGGGGAGGGUGGGGGUGGGGGGAGGAAAGGGGGAACAGAAAACUUUCUGCGAUCGUCUUCCGUUUUUCUGGAUAGAGGAUGCCGAGCUACUUUAAAGCCAUUUGGCGCAAGAACUGCACCAUGGAGCUACACGGAACUUUUAAAGCAGGAUGAGGAUGGAGGAACGACGUGAAUUCGUGGAGAUUUGCCCGUGGGGAUCUUUGUGCUUGCCUUACCGCCGGGACCGGGGGGGGAGAACCUCCCCCACCCUCGGAGCCGCAGCGAUAUUUAAACAACGCAGACAGAGCACAGGGAAUGACAUCCAAGGCACGACACGGCCGGGGGCAGCAGCGCGCCGGCCGGAACCUGCCUUCUCUUCCCCAGCCCCGGGAAAGCGAGGAGCUCCCCCCCCAAAACACGCACGCAUGUAAGAUGUUUGCCACGGAGCUGCCACCAUUUGGCCAAAAGCGCUCUGCCGUGCAUAAGGGAUCGGAAACCGCGUCCUCACGUCACUUUCUUCCGAAAUGGGAUUUUUAAAUUUUUUUUUAAUUUUUUUUUUUUGGGGGGGGGGGGGGGGUACUUCCUUACACCGUCCUGGAAAUCGCUGAUGGCUUUACGUCUUCACAGAGGCUAAGGAGACUUUUGUGAGAGUGGAGAGACUUACAACGCACAGAGAGGCCUGCGGUGGGAUGGAUGCUUCUCGCUCCUAAAACAGCCAACGCACCUUCAUCGUUGAUGUUGUUUUCUGAGGGGAGCAGACAGACCGUGGGUUAUGCUGUCGGAAAUCAGUGGCUGGAAGGAAAAGUUGGGAAUAAACUCUAAAGGUGAUGGAUCUCCUUUGGAUGUUACUGGCCGCACAUGUAGACAGACACACAAACCAGGGCACAGCUGCAUGAAAGGAUGGAAUUUUAAAGCAGGACUGGUGCUCCUGGAGGAGACAGCAUGGCUGUUUGCCAGGGAGAAUCUGGAUUCUAGCAAGGAAAAUUAUUAUUAUUAAUAGUAAUAAUAAUAAAGCUUUGAGGGAAGCGAGUUGUUAUCUUUGGUUAUCUAGCUGUAUGAGUGUUUUGGUCUUCAUAAAGCUAGAUAACCGAAAGUAAAAACUCCUUCAAGAUCAUCGUACAGCGUGUGAAAAUGAGAGACUGCUGCAAGAGACAGUAAAACCUGAGACAGGUCGGGAACGCUCAUUGCACCGAACGCUUUUACAGCUGGAGGUGGGAGCGGAGGGCGCUACAUGGCGUGCUUAUCACUCAUCCCAAAAUGUGGAGCUGUCAGAUGCCAUGGGAUGGAUGGCUGCUGGUAGCAAACAAUGCCAGUGUGACUGCUGCCAUUGCACAGAUGGAUAAACAAGGACCCAGGCCAGUAAAUGCUUAACUGAGAAGACACGUAUACACACACACCUGUAUAUAUAUAUAUUUCUUAUAUAUAUAUAAGAAAGCUGUUUGGAAAUGCUGAGUUUCAUUUUCCGGAACGAUGCAUUGCAGUGAGACAGCCUCAGAAAUAUUCCAGCAGCUGCUGGUGAUGGAGGUGACGGUGGUGGUGGUGGUACUGUGUGGACUGAGCCAGGAGGAAAACAACCCCAGACCUGUCUGUGUGCAUCCAAGGCAAAGCGCCGGGGUCUGUUCCGAACAACGCCAAAUCAGGCUUUCGGAAAGUUUGCACUGCAGUGUAGGCAAGCUUAAUAAUUUAUACCUAGUAAGAACGCGGUGGAGCUGCACAAAGAUGAAAAAAGUGAUGGCCGAUUUUUAUUCUUCUAUUCAGAACGCCAGCACAGAUGCUUCUCUGUUCCGAGAGGGUUUCCUUGAGGAAGCUACUGAAGCAGAAAGACAUGAUGGAGACGAGAUCGCCUCCCCCCUUGUCAAAGUGUUAAAAAAUGUUCUGUGUCUUACUCCGCGCCCAGCAUUGGAAAUGAAAGUGACAUUUACUCCCCAACCCACGUGUGCGCCUCCUCUCUUUUUGUUUAAGGAUGAUCAGAUCUAUCCGGGAAACAGCUCUGGCAUCCCAACCCGAAAUAAUUAGGACGUAUAUAGACCUGACAAAACAGAGAGGGGGAAGGGAGGAGGGGAG